AUGUACCGCUCGUACACUGCAGUGCCUCCGCGCCAUCCAGGCCCACCUGACGAUUGCUCGCUACGUGUUGUUAGCC
rnacentral:sRNA from 2 species